GACGAACGCUGGCGGCGUGCUUAACACAUGCAAGUCGAACGGAAAGGCCUCUUUCGGGGGGUACUCGAGUGGCGAACGGGUGAGUAACACGUGAGUAACCUGCCCUUGACUUUGGGAUAACUUCAGGAAACUGGGGCUAAUACCGGAUAGGAGCUCCUGCUGCAUGGUGGGGGUUGGAAAGUUUCGGCGGUUGGGGAUGGACUCGAGGCUUAUCAGCUUGUUGGUGGGGUAGUGGCUUACCAAGGCUUUGACGGGUAGCCGGCCUGAGAGGGUGACCGGCCACAUUGGGACUGAGAUACGGCCCAGACUCCUACGGGAGGCAGCAGUGGGGAAUAUUGCACAAUGGGUGGAAGCCUGAUGCAGCAACGCCGUGUGCGGGAUGACGGCCUUCGGGUUGUAAACCGCUUUCGCUCAUGACGAAGCUUUGUGUGACGGUAGUGGGUAAAGAAGCACCGGCUAACUACGUG
rnacentral:rRNA from 1 species